UUUAAGAUCCAUCUUCUAACCCACCUUUUUUUUUCUUUCUAUUUUUCCUUUUCUUCUCAUUUUCUAUAACAUUGACACAAACCCUUAAAAAUAACAACCAAGAACAAUCACCACCUCUCUCACAUACUUCAUCUUCUUCAUUAAUCAGUAAUUUUUCACUCUUAACUUCCUCACCUAAAAAAUAUUCAGGUUACUAUUGAUUCAUAUUUUUUAAAUAUUAGUAUGUAUUUUUAUUUAUUUUUCAAUAUAUUAUAUUUGUUUUGUGUUGAUCUGCAUUUAUUACUCAAAAACUCAUAUGAGUUAUUCAGAUUCUUGCUGAUCUCUUUGUAUUUAAGGGAAACGGGUGAAAAAGAUUAUUUUUUUAGUUAUCUUGAACUAAUCAAAGCAACGCCUUUUUAGCGGUGUGCGAUUUCGCGGUGGUAGAUCUGUUGUGGCGGCAACGUAUUUUCAACGGCAAUCGCGGUGGUGGUCAAAUUUGAAAGAUUAAGCAUUUGAAGAUUUGUGAAAAUGAGAUUUGUGGAGCUUUAGUAUGUUGCUUCAUUGCCGGUAGUUAAAGUGUUAUUGAUAACUGCACUUGAAUUGUUUCUUGCAAUAUAUUACAUUGAUGUGUUGGGAGAAGAUGCAAGACGUAAACUGACUAACAUAAUUUACUGAAAAAUACUUUAAAAUUUGGUAUCUUUUUCUUUGGUUCAUGUCAGUCAAUGUUCUUAGCACAUUCAUAUUAGGUUCAACUUUAGCAUGGUUUAUGAUUAAAAUUACAAGGCCUCCAAAGCACUUGGAAGGUCUCAUUAGAUUGUUGUUCUGCAGGUAUACUUAUCCUCUACACAAACAAUGAAAUAUUACAGUUUCUUCUUUAUAGAUUUUAUAUGUUAGUUUUGCAUUUGGGAUGUAUAUAAUUUGUGUGCAGUUCCAAAUUUGAUACAUCUUUGAUUGAGCUAAUGAAUGAGAUCAAUGUGAACGGGAAAUUUAGGAAACUUGCCUAUAAUCAUUAUUCCAUCUAUGUGUAAAGAGAAAGGAAGUCCUUUUGGGGACCCUGGCCUCUAUCAUAAAUAUGGAAUGGCUUAUGUCUCACUUUCUAUAAUUCAGAUUAUAUCAUCUGUUUAUAGCAUGUGUUUUCUUAUUAUAUUCUUCUGGUAAUAAAAGAGAAUCUUGUGUUA